CCUUAUGCUGUGCCUGUUACAUUCUGUGAUGACUCUGGAUAACUUUACUGAUCGCAGUCGGCCUUGUGUGUCGGCGACGGAUCUUUCAAAUGUCUGCCCUAUCAAUUUGUUGGUAGGUGAUUUGCCUACCAUGAUGAUAACGGGUAACGGGGAAUCAGGGUUCGAUUCCGGAGAGGGAGCCUGAGAAAUGGCUACCACAUCCAAGGACGGCAGCAGGCGCGAAAAUUACCCACUCCCAGCACGGGGAGGUAGUGACGAAAAAUACGGAUACGGGACUCAAUUGAGGCUCCGUAAUUCGAAUGAGUACAAUUUAAAUCCUUUAACGAGGACCAAUUGGAGGGCAAGUCUGGUGCCAGCAGCCGCGGUAACUCCAGCUCCAAAAGCGUAUAUUAAAGUUGCUGCAGUUAAAAAGCUCGUAGUUGGAUCUGGGUAGUGCGAUCGCAUGCUGUUGCUUGUUCACGGUCUUGGUUACGAUCAGGGCAGUGGUCAGCUCGGCGUAGUGGUUGUGCAACCUUUCAGCCGUGUCUGUGUUUUAUUAAACAGGUGUCGAUGGGUUAAUGAGUAUUGUAUCUUAUUGACCUGUUGGCAUGCUUUCGGAUGCCUUUAAACGGGUGUCGGGGGCGGACGGCAUCUUUACUUUGAACAAAUUUGAGUGCUCAAAGCAGGCCUAUGCGCCUGAAAAUUUUGCAUGGAAUAAUGAAAUAGGACUUCGGUUCUAUUUUGUUGGUUUUCGGAUCCGAAGUAAUGGUUAAGAGGGACAGACGGGGGCAUUUGUAUGGCGGGCGUUAGAGGUGAAAUUCUGGGAUCGCCGCCAGACAAACUACAGCGAAAGCAUUUGCCAAGAAUGUUUUCAUUGAUCAGGAGCGAAAGUCAGAGUUUCGAAGACGAUCAGAUACCGUCGUAGUUCUGACCAUAAACGAUGCCAACUGACGAUCCGCGUUGGUUCUAUAAUUGACAUCGCGGGCAGUCCCCGGGAAACCUUUAAGUCUUUGGGCUCCGGGGGGAGUAUGGUUGCAAAGCUGAAACUUAAAGGAAUUGACGGAAGGGCACCACCAGGAGUGGAGCCUGCGGUUUAAUUCGACUCAACACGGGAAAACUCACCCGGCCCGGACACUGUGAGGAUUGACAGAUUGAAAGCUCUUUCUUGAUUCGGUGGUUGGUGGGGCAUGGCCGUUCUUAGUUGGUGGAGCGAUUUGUCUGGUUAACU
rnacentral:rRNA from 1 species